rnacentral:rRNA from 1 species
AGCUCCAAUAGCGUAUAUUAAAGUUGUUGCAGUUAAAAAGCUCGUAGUUGAACUUCUGGUCAAGCGUGACCUUGGCUUCGGUCGAGGCAGGCAUGGCCAUCCGUCAGAAAACCAGGGAGGGUCUUAAGUGAUCGCUCUGGGGAUCUGACACUUUACUUUGAAAAAACUAGAGUGUUCAUGGCAGGCUAACGCCCUGAAUACACAAGCAUGGAAUAAUAGAAUAGGACUGGGUCCAUUUUGUUGGUUAUUGGACGCAGUGAUGAUUAAUAGGGACAGUUGGGGGCAUUAGUAUUUAAUUGUCAGAGGUGAAAUUCUUGGAUUUAUUAAAGACUGACUUAUGCGAAAGCAUUUGCCAAGGAUGUUUUCA